UGACCUACGGGGCGCAGCAGUGAGGAAUAUUGGUCAAUGGGCGGAAGCCUGAACCAGCCAAGUCGCGUGAGGGAAUAAGGCCCUACGGGUCGUAAACCUCUUUUGCCGGGGAGCAAGGGCGGGGACGUGUCCCGGCCCGGAGAGUACCCGGAGAAAAAGCAUCGGCUAACUCCGUGCCAGCAGCCGCGGUAAUACGGAGGAUGCGAGCGUUAUCCGGAUUUAUUGGGUUUAAAGGGGGCGUAGGCGGGCUUUUAAGUCAGCGGUAAAAAUUCGGGGCGCACACCCGGGCGGCCGUGGAAGCUGGG
rnacentral:rRNA from 1 species